rnacentral:rRNA from 1 species
UACGUGCGGAAUAGAUAAGUGCUGAAAGCAUCUAAGCACGAAACUAGCCUCGAGAUGAGUUUUCCCUGAAGAGAUUCAGUAAGGUCCGUUUGAGACUAAGACGUAGAUAGGUCAGGUGUGUAAGUGUAGUGAUACAUUGAGCUAACUGAUACUAAUGAACCGAGAGUCUUAACCUUACAAC